rnacentral:rRNA from 1 species
GACGAACGCUGGCGGCGUGCCUAAUACAUGCAAGUCGAACGCAAAGAUUAUAACAUAGCUUGCUAAACGAUAGACUGUGAGUUGCGAACGGGGGAGUAACGCGUAGGUAACCUGCCUGGUAGCGGGGGAUAACUAAAGGAAACGAAAGAUAAUACAGCAUAAUAUUAAUUAAUGAAUGAAAAUUAAUAGAAAGGUGGAAUUGAACAACUACCAGAUGGACAGGCGGUGUAUUAGGUAGUAGGCGAGGUAAGGGCUCACCCAGGCCGCGGUACAUAGCCGGCCUUGGAGGGUUGACGGCCACCCUUGGACUGGAACACCGCCCAGACUCCUACGGGAGGCAGCAGUUGGGGAUCUUCGGCAAUUGACGACAGUCUUACCCAGCACCUCCGCGUUAGUUAAGAAGGUUCUCGGAUCGUAAAGCUCUGUUUUAUGGGAAGAACGAGUGUCAGAUUGGAACGUUCACACUGUGACGGUAUCUUACCAGAAAGCGACGGCUAACUACGUG